rnacentral:rRNA from 1 species
UACGGAGGGUGCAAGCGUUAUCCGGAUUCACUGGGUUUAAAGGGUGCGUAGGUGGGCAGGUAAGUCAGUGGUGAAAUCUCCGAGCUUAACUCGGAACUGCCGUUGAUACUAUUUGUCUUGAAUAUUGUGGAGGUAAGCGGAAUAUGUCAUGUAGCGGUGAAAUGCUUAGAUAUGACAUAGAACACCAAUUGCGAAGGCAGCUUACUACACAACGAUUGACGCUGAGGCACGAAAAGCGUGGGGGAUCAAACAGG